rnacentral:rRNA from 1 species
UACGUAGGGGGCUAGCGUUAUCCGGAAUUAUUGGGCGUAAAGGGUGCGUAGGCGGUCCUACAAGUCAGAGGUGAAAGGCUACGGCUCAACCGUAGUAAGCCUUUGAAACUGUAGGACUUGAGUGCAGGAGAGGAGAGUGGAAUUCCCAGUGUAGCGGUGAAAUGCGUAGAUAUUGGGAGGAACACCAGUUGCGAAGGCGGCUCUCUGGACUGUAACUGACGCUGAGGCACGAAAGCGUGGGGAGCGAAC